AAAAGUUCGUAACAAGGUUUCUGUAGGUGAACCUGCAGAAGGAUCAUUA
rnacentral:rRNA from 1 species